CCCCACCCCCACCGCACCCCGCCCCACCAUGCAGUUGCUUCUUCCAUCAGCUGGGAGAGAAAGGGGAAGCUGGGAAGGUGGGUUUAUAAGUUUAAGAGGACUUUAGCAUGUAAAGUAAUUAUAACAGCUUCAGGUCAGGAAAGCUUAGAAGAACAUUGGAACUAGGUGUGAGAAGCCAUAAAUGCCACAGUCAAGGGGUUCAGCCCUGUGUGUGGGCGCUGGACCGGGGUGGAAAGCAAAGAGGAAGGCAGAGGGGCGCCCAGCACGGCAGGCUUGUCUGGCCCAGACCCCUUCCCCACCUGUGUCAGGGCAGUGGGGCCCCAAAAGAAACGAGAGCCUCGCGGGGCGGGCAGUGCCCGAGCUCAUCCUCGCAGCUCUUGGCGGCAUCUCAAGUCUGGAAGCAGCCUGUGCGUCCCAGUAGCGGCUGCCUGAGCAGGUGACGGCCCUCCGUGGACCGCCCCCCCUGGGCUCCUGCGCCAUGCAUCCAUCUGGAGUCCCGCUGAGAAGCCGGUGCCAGAGCUCUGACCCAGAAAGCGGGCCGGGCCUGGCGCCGUCAUGUAAGGAGGGCGUGAGUGCCCCAUUGUGGCCCUGUGGCUGGUGCCCGGGUGUGGACGACAUUGCAGAGGGGAGGUCGGACAGCUGCUUCUCCUCCUCCCUCUGGAGCGUGUGAUUUGUGGUGAUGUACUUCUUCACGAUUCUAGCCUCUGAGAAAGGUGGAAAGAAACUGAAAGGCCUCUUUCCUUUUCAUCCCAGCACCCCCCCCCGCCCACCCAGUUUGCUGGGUCCUGUCGCUCAGGCUGACCUGGAGCUGCUUGUUCAUGUCUCCAAGCCCCAGUUGUUCUGUGGUUAAAAUGAGGAUGAUAGCGCCCGCCACACUGGGGCCUGGUGAGAGUGAGGGAGGCUGUGGCUGAAAGUGCUCGCCCGGGGCCGGGCACACUGGAGGCCCCAGGGGGAUGAAUGGAUGGACAGAUGUACGGAUGGUGCCCUUUCCCUUCAGUCCACUUGCUGAGGUCCAGGCUCUUCCCAGGCCCAAGCCCCAAGCCCUGCCUCUAUGGGGCAUGGAAUCGCCUUGGGCUAUGGCCCCCCACUGUGUACACCUGAGCCGUCCUUUGUACCUCCUCAAACCAGUGAAUAAAUGGAUGAAUACGUGUACCUGCUUUCUUUCAGUCCUCACCAGCCACCCAGCUGCACUCAACCCCAGUGGUCUGGUUUGGCUGGUCCUGCUGGCUCUGUCCAUCCUAGACUCCCGCCUCCCCUGGUUCUCCCAGUCUUGGCCCUGGAGCCAGCCCUGGUCCAAGACAGAUGAUGACCCAGGGGAGGGGAGGCAGGAGGACCCCCGUGGCUCACUGGGACCAGCCCUGGUUCUGGUUCUCUGGGAGCGAGACCGACCUACCAGCUCACCCAGCUGGCCCCUGGGAAAGGCUGAGGGGCCUGGAGAGGAGGCAGGACCCCAGGCACCCACCCAUCACCCAGCCUUCUACUCCUGACAGCAGCUCUUCCUCUGCUGGGGGGGCAGGGUCUGAGACCGGCCAGCCCAGAGGAGCCCACAGGUAGGGGGACGAACAGAAGCCGCUCUCAGGCCGCCAGCGUGGACACACAAGGGCCCCGGGGCCGGCAGGACUGGCCCCUGCAGACGGCCACCUCUGCUGCCCCCACGCACGUCGCCCGUUUUGGCAGAAUGGCUUGCCUGGCACGUCACUCCCAGGAGGUCUGGCUCCUGCUCUCAGGAGUGCUCUUCUGGGCUGGCACCCAUCACGGGGCCCCUCUUAAGAGCAACAGCCUUUCUGCUCCUGGCCACCCCACCCCUCCCCAGCACUGGGCAAAUACCCACAGGCCCAAACAAACAGUCAAGAUCAUGACCAUCCCAGGGAGGCAGGCCUCUCAAGCCACCGCUUCUGGAGGGAGGCCCACUUGACAGAUGGGAAAGCUGAGGACUCUGCUCUGUGGCUCUCUGGAGGACAACCGGUCCAUCUACUCACUGCAGGCUGGCAUGCUGGUGAAGCUUCCGCUUUUGAAGCUUUUAGAUUCAUUUGCACGUUUAGGGACAGGAGUGGGCUCACAGGCUUUGAUGUAGGAGAUAGGUGGGCUCCAGGUUAGACAUUCACAACUGGCCUCCUGUUUGCAUCUCCUGAGGCAACAGACAGGUGGGCUGCAGCUGAGGCAUUUACACUCAGCCUCCUGUUUGCCCUCCGAAAGGAAAGUAACAACAGAAACAGGGUGAGUAGUCAGUGUUUGUCUCUUGUGAACGUGUUAAGGCAAUAGUCAUGGCAAGGACAGAGAGGUGCAAAAUCCUGUUUGAGUAAAGGCUGAAGGGAUCUCCGCUUCCCCCUCUUGGGAUAAGAGAGACACUACAUACGCACAGAAAGGCUCCUUGUGGGUCAAAAGUCAAGGGAUAACUCCAGACCAUAAUGAGUCUUGCUCCUCCCAGAAGCCUUCACUUCGAGAUCCAUCUUGGCUGACAGCGGUCACCCUGCAAUGCUACACGUGUCCCGAGCCCAUCAGCGUGUCCAGCUGCAUCACCAUCACCACCUGCAACGCCAACGAGAC